GGGUCUUUAGCUCAGAAGUAGAGCGGCAGACUUUGGUAUCAAUUUUGAAGCUUCAUUCCGUCAAGGUGUGGAAUUCUGUAGGUCGCGGGUUCGAUCCCCGUAGGACUCU
rnacentral:tRNA from 1 species